rnacentral:lncRNA from 1 species
UUGGUUGCAUGCAAAAUUGAAAUGCAAAGUCAGAACCCUGAAAGAUUGUGACAUGGAAUGAAACUCUUUGAGGGAAAAUUUGGAAGAAACAACCUGAUGUAAAUCCUUCUUUUUUUUUCAGUCAACAAUUCAUCAGUUCUUCUCGAUACGAAUUUGACCUGAACUGUUCGUUUGUUUGCAGGCAAUCAUGUCCAAACGACAUGUAGUACCAACAGGACUACAGGAGUAUAGUAUCAGUCUUUCUUUUUCAAACUUACACGCAUUUCUUUCAUCAACGAUGAGCAUGGCAGCUAACUUUUUUUUUUUUUUCAGUUAAAAGCGCUUUUAUUCAGCUCCAUGAAAAGACAUGAUAAAUACUAGGCCCUGAGAAAAACGACGAUGACAAAGCUGCGUAGUGUACUUCUUGUUGCAAAAAUAACACUGAAACAAAGCACUUUAUCACACGUACGUCCAUGGGUCCUCCAUCAGACACGCAAAGACCUGUCCAUGCUGCUUCCAUGCACAUCCAAAAAUUGAAGUUCAGCUAAGAUUCAAAACCAAAAUUUCCUGUAUGGAAAAACUCGGAAUCACAGGCAAUCUUUUUUGCUUACUAGUUAGAAGAAGAUUCAAAUGCACCUAUUUUUCUUGAGAAGAAAACUCAGAUCAUAUGCAUUUCUUUGUCAGAAAAUACUCAGAUUCAGAGGCUCUGAUGAAUCAGAACGACAAGAAAAAAAAUUAAGAUUCAAUAUCAAUUUUUUUAAUUAAAGAAAAACUCAGAUUCAG